rnacentral:rRNA from 1 species
UACAGAGGUCCCAAGCGUUGUUCGGAUUCACUGGGCGUAAAGGGUGCGUAGGCGGUCGGGUAAGUCUGACGUGAAAUCUUCAAGCUCAACUUGGAAACUGCGUCCGAUACUAUUCGGCUAGAGGAAUGCAGGGGAGACUGGAAUUCCUGGUGUAGCGGUGGAAUGCGCAGAUAUCAGGAGGAACACCGGUGGCGAAGGCGGGUCUCUGGGCAGUAACUGACGCUGAGGAGCGAAAGCGUGGGGAGCGAACAGG